UACGAAGGGGGCUAGCGUUGUUCGGAAUCACUGGGCGUAAAGGGCGCGUAGGCGGCCGAUCAAGUCGGGGGUGAAAGCCUGUGGCUCAACCACAGAAUUGCCUUCGAUACUGUUUGGCUUGAGACCGGAAGAGGUUAGUGGAACUGCGAGUGUAGAGGUGAAAUUCGUAGAUAUUCGCAAGAACACCAGUGGCGAAGGCGGCCAACUGGUCCGGUUCUGACGCUGAGGCGCGAAAGCGUGGGGAGCAAACAGG
rnacentral:rRNA from 1 species